UACGUAGGGUGCAAGCGUUGUCCGGAUUCAUUGGGCGUAAAGGGCGCGUAGGCGGCUCGGCACGUCCGGUGUGAAAUCGCCCGGCUCAACUGGGCGGGGUCGGCGGAUACGGCCGAGCUGGAGCAAGCUAGGGGGUAAUGGAAUUCCCGGUGUAGUGGUGGAAUGCGUAGAUAUCGGGAGGAACACCAGUGGCGAAGGCGGUUACCUGGAGCUUUGCUGACGCUGAUGCGCGAAAGCGUGGGGAGCGAUCCGG
rnacentral:rRNA from 1 species